rnacentral:lncRNA from 1 species
CCCCCCAAAAAAAAAAACCGAAAAAGAAAUCUCGCUCUCUUCCGAAACUAAACUAGUUUCCUGCCAGCCCUUCCUCGCUGGUCACAGAAUACGUCCCUUGUUCCUCUCCGUUCAAAUGCCCGCGGUAAUUACCUGCAUGGAUCGUGUUUCUCCUGUGUCCUAAAACAUUUUAUUUCUUUUUAGCUUGUCGUCCUCGCUUGGCAUUAACUUUCGACAACAGCCAGCAGAGUGUGCUGUGAACGCUGAGAAAAGAACAUCCUGCUUCUGGGAAAUUUUUAUAUAUAUCUCCAUAUAUAUAUAUAUAUUUUAUAUAUAUAUAUACAUAUGUACAGAAAUGCAGAUGAAGACAUUUUAAGUGGUUCUAAUACUUGCAUGAGUGGUAGGUAGCUCCUCCCGUCAAUUAAAAUACUUCUCUUGUCGCAGAUCACAGAACCUCUUCCUUAAAAAUUAAUAACCAAGUCAUACUAAACCGUCUGCUUUCAGCGAGAUUGCUUUCCAGUGUUUGUAUAAAGUUGGAAAAGUGCCACAGUGGAGAUGUCCAAAUACGUUUCACAGUCAGAGAGAAGGAUCUAGAACACAAGGGGCAGUCUGACAUGGCAAUCAAAGCAGAAUAUUCUCCCCAGCUCUGCUUCUGACCAGAAUUAAUCAGAUACAAUGAGCCUAAUUUUCAUGGCCAAAAGAAGAAAUAACUAAGAGAUUUGACUCAUCACUCCAAAACCAGAAAGUGCUCCUGUAAGCUGCUAGCUGACUAAAUCCUGUACACUGCAAAGUAAGUUUGUAUUUCCCCAGAGGUGACUGGAAGUUAUCUUGCUGA